GGCCGAAAGGCGUAGUCGAUGGACAGCAGGUUAAUAUUCCUGCGCUGGUCGUGUGGACCAAAGAGGGGACGGCACUCGAAUUGCAAGGGGACGGUUAGAAAUGUCCCUUACCGCAAGGUUAACCCCGUUUACGAUGGGUAUGUUGCAUGAAGGGUGUCCAAGAAAAGCCUCGGAGGGUUGAAGCACGCCAACCGUACUAAAACUGACACAGGUAGGCGAGACGAGUAGUCUAAGGCGCUCGGGAGAACACUGGUUAAGGAACUCUGCAAAAUGAUCCCGUAAGUUCGCGAUAAGGGAUGCCCACGCGAGUGGGCCACAGUAAAUCGGUUCCUCCGACUGUUUAUCAAAAACACAGGUCUCUGCUAA
rnacentral:rRNA from 1 species